rnacentral:rRNA from 1 species
AGUGAACGCUGGCGGUAGGCCUAACACAUGCAAGUCGAACGGCAGCACAGUAAGAGCUUGCUCUUACGGGUGGCGAGUGGCGGACGAGUGAGGAAUACAUCGGAAUCUACUUUUUCGUGGGGGAUAACGUAGGGAAACUUACGCUAAUACCGCAUACGACCUACGGGUGAAAGCAGGGGAUCUUCGGACCUUGCGCGAUUGAAUGAGCCGAUGUCGGAUUAGCUAGGUGGCGGGGUAAAGGCCCACCAAGGCGACGAUCCGUAGCUGGUCUGAGAGGAUGAUCAGCCACACUGGAACUGAGACACGGUCCAGACUCCUACGGGAGGCAGCAGUGGGGAAUAUUGGACAAUGGGCGCAAGCCUGAUCCAGCCAUACCGCGUGGGUGAAGAAGGCCUUCGGGUUGUAAAGCCCUUUUGUUGGGAAAGAAAAGCAGCAGGUUAAUACCCCGCUGUUCUGACGGUACCCAAAGAAUAAGCACCGGCUAACUUCGUG